UAAGAUAUUUAUAUUAUUAAUAGGAAAGUCAUAAAUAUAUAAAUUAUAUUAUAUAAUUAAUAUAAUAAUAAAUAAAUUAUAUAUUUUAUUUAUAAUAUUGAUAUAUAAAAAAAAUUCAUUCAUUAUAUAAAUAAAAUUAUAAUAAAAAUAAAAAUAUAUAUAAAUUAAUAUAAUAUUAAUAAAGUAAUUAGUAUAAAUAAAUAAUAUGAAAAUAAAACUUAAUAAAUAUAUAAAUAUAGUCUAUAUAUAUAUAUAUUAUAUAAAAAAUAAUAUAUAUAUAUAUAUUAGAAUAGUUAUAUUAUUAUACAGAAAUAUGCUUAAUUAUAAUAUAAUAUCCA
rnacentral:RNase_P_RNA from 2 species